rnacentral:tRNA from 1 species
GCGCCGGUGGUGUAGGCGUAGAGCGUUCCCGCCCGGCCAGAGGGAGGUGCGGGUUCGAGUCCCGCCUGGCGCU